rnacentral:rRNA from 1 species
GAUGAACGCUGGCGGCGUGCCUAAUACAUGCAAGUCGAGCGAACGGACGAGAAGCUUGCUCCUCUGAUGUUAGCGGCGGACGGGUGAGUAACACGUGGAUAACCUACCUAUAAGACUGGGAGAACUUCGGGAAACCGGAGCUAAUACCAGAUGAUAUUUUGAACCGCAUGGUUCAAAAGUGAAUGACGGUUUUGCCGUCACUUAUAGAUGGUGCCGGGCUGCAUUAGCUAGUUGGUAAGGUAACGGCUUACCAAGGCAACGAUGCAUAGCCGACCUGAGAGGGUGAUCGGCCACACUGGAACUGAGACACGGUCCAGACUCCUACGGGAGGCAGCAGUAGGGAAUCUUCCGCAAUGGGCGAAAGCCUGACGGAGCAACGCCGCGUGAGUGAUGAAGGUCUUCGGAUCGUAAAGCUCUGUUAUUAGGGAAGAACAGAUGUGUAAGUAACUGUGCACAUCUUGACGGUACCUAAUCAGAAAGCCACGGCUAACUACGUG